AACGAACGCUGGCGGCAGGCCUAACACAUGCAAGUCGAGCGCACCUUCGGGUGAGCGGCGGACGGGUUAGUAACGCGUGGGAACGUGCCCUUCUCUACGGAAUAGCCCAGGGAAACUUGGAUUAAUACCGUAUACGCCCUUAGGGGGAAAGAUUUAUCGGAGAAGGAUCGGCCCGCGUUGGAUUAGGUAGUUGGUGGGGUAAUGGCCUACCAAGCCGACGAUCCAUAGCUGGUUUGAGAGGAUGAUCAGCAACACUGGGACUGAGACACGGCCCAGACUCCUACGGGAGGCAGCAGUGGGGAAUCUUAGACAAUGGGGGCAACCCUGAUCUAGCCAUGCCGCGUGGACGAUGAAGGCCUUAGGGUUGUAAAGUCCUUUCGCUGGGGAAGAUAAUGACGGUACCCAGUAAAGAAGCCCCGGCUAACUCCGAGCCAGCCGCCGCCGUAAGAC
rnacentral:rRNA from 1 species